rnacentral:rRNA from 1 species
AAACCAACAGGGAUUGCCUUAGUAACGGCGAGUGAAGCGGCAAGAGCUCAAAUUUGAAAUCGGCUACCCAGUCGAGUUGUAAUUUGUAGAUUGUAUUUUGGGAUUGUGGCACAAGUCUGUUGGAACACAGCGCCUUAGAGGGUGAGAGCCCCGUGUGCCUAUUCCCGUUGUAAAAUGCUUUCAAAGAGUCGAGUUGUUUGGGAAUGCAGCUCUAAGUGGGAGGUAAAUUCCUUCUAAAGCUAAAUAUUGGCGAGAGACCGAUAGCGAACAAGUACAGUGAUGGAAAGAUGAAAAGAACUUUGAAAAGAGAGUGAAAAAGUACGUGAAAUUGUUAAAAGGGAAGGGUACUAAAUCAGACGUGGGCGUUGUGUUCAUUUUUCAUUCGUGAAGGAGUACUCACAACGUCUAGGCCAAGGUAGGGGAGAGAGGCGGGAAAAAACUGCAGGAACGUGGCUCUUCGGAGUGUUAUAGCCUGUGGCAAUACCGCCAUCACUCCCCUAGGACUGCGCAUUUUGCUAGGACCUUGGCGUAAUGAUUUUGUACCGCCCGU